ensembl:lncRNA
UGGGGAGGUGCGCGCGACCGGCGGCGAGGCGCCAUCUUGGGGAAGUGGCGUCGUUGCAGCGUGAGUGGAAAAAUAUGCCAUCUGGUAUUCUUCCUUUGGUGCAAGAGUUACUCUUGAUGGAACCUUUUGAUAAAAUAAUGUGACGUGUUUUUGGAUGUACUGGAGCAGGAAUUGUUUCCAUAGUUUGUGGAGAAGUUGGGCGCUGCUUCUGUUUGGUGUUUGAAAGGAAGGAAUGUCAGCACUGUGAAACAGCUGGGGUUUUGGGUUGUUAUGUCACUGUCACGUUCAGGGCUGGAUGGAGGCAUUGCAUGGAGGCAUUUUGAUAAACUCAUCCAGGUCACCUGAGCAUGCUGCUUACAACUCCUCCGUCAGCUCUCCCAGCUGGGUGUGAUGCGGGCUGCUCGACAGAGAGGUAAGGCAUGCCUUCAGAGCAGUUACUCCCCCAUCUUGGGAUGAAAGACAAUUAGUAUAUAAGGAAGGAACCUAUAAGUAGGGGAAGGUUUAAUUCUUUUGUUUGUUAUAUUGGAAUAUUUUCAAGAGGCUGCUAUGAAGAAUUGAUGUUAGCACUAUGCUGUAAUGGUGUGUGGGAUGUAUAGCUGUGGUCAGUUCACCUACUGCUAUUUAAAACCUGGUUACUUGCUAGUGGCUGUUUGGCUCAGAAAGAACUACAAAUGCUGGGAAAACCAUCUCAGCAGCCUAGUAAAGCAUUCCCAUUGAUUUUGCUCAUGCUUGCAGUGCAUGCUGGCGGAGCUUCAGCAUCUUUGCAUUUAGUAGUGUUAUCCUCCUGUUAGUUGUUGAGAAGACUGCUAAUCUAGUUGCUGAAAUGUUGCUGAAACUUUAAUUCUGUGGAUAGUCAGAAGAAAUGGGCUCAGGUUAACUUGUGAGAUGCCAAGUUCUGCCCGUUGAGAGCUCUGCUGUUUUUCUGGUUGAAGAUAUGGGAAUGUUCCUCACCAGCUCUUUCUUUAUCAAGGUGAGAAAGUCUUCCUCCUUCCUGUAGGCUUAAUGCCUCCGUGAUGGUGGUUCAGGCCCUUGUCUCUCUCUUGAUUGAGCGCGUGGCCAUGUGGGACGUGCCAGUUUUGCACAUUUCUGCUAUGGAAUCCACCUGUUCCUCCUACUGCAGCACCUGUGUGGCAAAGGGAGGGCAGGGAUGGAAAGGUUCACUUCUAGUUCUGAUUCAUCAGUUUUAUUGAGCUUAAAUUCUUUUGUUUUAAUGCACACUUGAUUGAGCCUGCAUUUAUUGAAACGUUUAUGGUUUGUAGGAAAAAGAGACAGUUGAAGAAAGAACAAAUGAAUCUAAUGUAAAUCAAAUACUUAACGCUUUUAUAGAAACUACAAAGCCUUAAAUGUGUAUUCUUAAUGGUAAUUUUACAAAACUCCACCAUGCAUCUUCAAAUGGAGGUGUGACAGUGAUUGUUUCAGUCUAGAGAUGGCUUUCCUUUCACAUGCUAAUCAUCUGCUCGUGGUGAUAUUUCUCAGUGUAGUUGUAGUCAGCAAAUUGAAUAAUUUAUGGAAUGAAUUUUGUUGUAAAUUUAUUGUGUCACAAGCAGGUUGUAAUUUCACUAACAGUACACUUAAGUUAUUAAGUAAAAAAAAAUAAUGUGGUUGAUAGGAUGGUGCAUUUGGAGGUUCUCUUGCUCCCUCCCCAACUAGUUCUCAUCUUAUAUAUUUUCAAACAGAGUAUUUACCUAAUUUUUAUUCAGAAUCUGAUCUGAGUGAGAGGGGACAUUAACAUAAAUGGGUUUGCAUUUGCACACCAUUGUUGAAUCUGGAAGUCGUAAACAAAUUACAGAAGAUUUUAUAUAGACAGAAAUAGCAUUAAAAUGGCACAGCUCCAUCGCUGUGCUGCCUUCCUUCUGUGUUUGUUUCUGAGUAAUUGUCCUCUGCUUCCAAAUGAUGAAGUGCUGAAGGUACAGGCAAACCCGCAGAGAGCAGCGGAGCCUUCUGCUUCUUCCUGAACUUUGGUGUUAAGAUAAUUGGAGCCAUUGCCAUGCAGUUGGCUCUGUGCUGAGCCGUGCAGGCAGCGCUGUGCUUGUGGGCUGGCACUGCUGUGGGUCCUGCUGCUGCAAGACCAUGGAACGUUGCUGGCAGAGGCUUUGCCAUGUCUGUGCAGGGAAGGGGAGGGUUUGGUUCUGUCACGUUUUUCUCUUGCUCUAGUUUUUCAUGCCAGAAAUACACAUUUUCCCUUGGGUUACACUGGUACUUUCUGUCAUCAUCGACAGCAACUGCAUGGUGCCCAGGUGGAUGAUGAUAUGUGGAAAUGUCAAAGGGACAAGUAUUUGGUCUCAUAAGUGUUGAAGUCAAAUGUAAGAAAAGAACAUCAUACAUAGACUCUUUGUUGGCAGUGGGAAGAUCCAUCCAGAUCCCUUUCUGUUCCUGUGCUGUGUUUACUUACAGACUCUUGCUAUCUUGGCCCUGCUCGGUGUUUUGUUGAGCAGCGAGGUGCUCAGGCAUAGCUGGGGUUCCGCUCUGUCAGGUAAAGUCCUGAUGGGCGUCUGCAGGAGCCACACAAAUUCUGUUGUACGCCUGUGCUUCUGUGGGAGUCCUAGAGGUGCUCAUUGGUGCAGCUCCUGGAGAGACUUUGGUUUCUGCAACCUCAAAAUGGAUCCCUUGCUUGAAGACAGAUGUUGCAACUGUCUAUAGCUGCCAGCUGUUAGUCACAGGACACAGGCUCUUUGGGUCAGGGCUGUUCUUGCAUACUUUUAGUCAGGCAAACAGAGAACAAACCUUUUUGCAUCACUGCAACUCUCAUAAGGUCCUGGCUGUUCUCUCCUUGCUCUUUGCAGCAUACUCUCUGCUCCCUGCCCUUUCCUGCAGGCACUGAAGUCUCCUAUCUGUGCCCAUCACACUUCUCAUGCCCAAUUCCCGUUGUGGUGGCAGGGGUGGACCCAGCCCAGUGAUCAUUGGAGACCCUCACACUGUGGGAACACUGCUGUGGUGUGCAAAUAGCAUGGAAGGCAGAUAGGUUGCAACUGUUUAUUUAAUUGUUUAAAUAUGCUGAUGCUAAUAUGUAAUUACACAACAUAAGCACACUUAAUUACUUAAAUGAGCUAAAUUUUUUUGUGUCUCGGUCUAAAAUGGCAAUCAAAAAUUCUCAGUGGGGGGCAGACAUAGGAAGGACUCCUUCUGAUGGAUGCCUCUAAAUGUUCUUUUCUCUUAGGCACAGAGGUGACACGGGGCACGACACCCAGAGGAGCAGAACUGUACGGUUUAAAAUCUAAGCGUAGCUUUCCCUGUCUCAGGUUUUAAUGGUGAUCUUGAGACUUGCUGUGCAGCCAAUGAAAUUCAGGAGGUGCUCCUCUCCCUCACGGAUGUUGCGGGCAGCAGUAGGACAGGUGCUUAGGGCUUUGUAAUGCUUCGUGUUCUGCAAGUCAGUGCAAACCCAGUUGCAAUUCUCACCGUGAGCACUGCACGGCGUGGGGAGCAGAGUGUGCCCAGGUUCUGUGCUGGGAACGCUCCCAAGUGAGCGGUGCUCCCACUCGGAGGUACAGUGCUCAGAGCCAGGCAGUGGGCUGCUGGCAGCGGCUGUGGCAUGCUGUGUCACGCUUUGUCGCACCGCGGCGCUGGAAACGGACCGCUCUGAAACCUCCCUGUGCCGUCAGGUCACCGACCUCUGGGUACUUUUUCCUGCUGCUGUGGAU